rnacentral:rRNA from 1 species
UACGUAGGGUGCGAGCGUUGUCCGGAAUUAUUGGGCGUAAAGAGCUCGUAGGCGGUCUGUCGAGUCGAAUGUGAAAACCCGGGGCUCAACUCCGGGCUUGCAUUCGAUACGGGCAGGCUAGAGUUCGGCAGGGGAGACUGGAAUUCCUGGUGUAGCGGUGGAAUGCGCAGAUAUCAGGAGGAACACCGGUGGCGAAGGCGGGUCUCUGGGCCGAUACUGACACUGAGAAGCGAAAGCGUGGGGAGCGAACAGG